rfam:Dipodomys ordii contig_46195, whole genome shotgun sequence.
GGUGGCUCAGUGGUAGAGUGCUUGCCUUGUAUGCAUGAGGCGCUGGGUUCGAUUCCUCAGCACCA